CCUUCAUCAUCUAUGUGCGGUUGAUGCACUCGACUCCUUUGAUGCCACAUACAUGGAUUUAUUGGUACGCGUGUACUGCAGCAGUAGCUCCCCACCGUUCACUUUCUUUUUCUGUGCACCACGCCUCUUCCCUGCUUUGCUCCUCUCCCUCUCCGCUCCCGCUUCUCACUUUGCGGGCCCUCUACGAGGUGAUGGGCACGAAACGUGGAGGACAGUGCACAUACAAGGAAAGAAAAGGGGGAGACCGUCAGGUAGCCGUUGACAUAUAGUGCGUAGCAGGACGCAAACACGCGAGCACUCACCUUCACGCACAGCGACCAGGCACUUAAGCAUUCCACUCCACCACCUCUCUCCGCGGCUACUUCAGAGGGGGCCGGAAGAGAGGGAGGGGGGGGGCAGCGUAGCGCUUGCCAAUUGAGGGCAGAAAAAGUCCGGUGCCUUGAUCGAACGCUAUCAGUGUUUACUGCUUCAUCAGCCUCAUCACAUCCUCUAUCUCCAACGUGGUGGUUCUCCCUUGAGUUCUUUUAAGCUAGCCCUAAUGCUUCGGCGUAGCGUAUUAACGCGGCGCUACCCCUUCACCAAGCGCGGCCCCCGGGAGCGCAAGUCGUGGAAGCACCAUGUCCUGACGGAGCCUCCGAAACCGGUGGAGUGGCGUGACCCGAAGGUGUGGACGAAGGACUUGAGCCAGAUGAAGUCGUUCGACGCGCCUCAGUGGGACCUCUGGCUUAACCGAUCCAGGUCGCAAGACAUGGACGAGGCACUGCAGCCGUUCAUGGACAUGCCUCAGUCCCUCAAAGACCGUCGGUAUGAUAUUCCCUGGUGGGCGAACCCUUUCGGUGCGUGGUACCUUCAAAACGUGCUUUCGGUAGAGCUAAUGAAGCUGCCUGGGCGAACAAAUGCUGAGAAGAUUGCCAUCUACCGCGGGCGCAAGCGCCCCGCCACAUGGGACAAGUCGAAGGAGGGACUCAUGGACGAUGAGGUGCUGCUGAAGCAAAUUGUAAAGGAGCGCUGGCGCACCCUUGAAUUUGGCGACCGUGACGCUGGCUACCCGUGCACGUUCAGCGACUACAUCCAGUUCUUGAACGAGUGGUUCAAGUCUCUGGAUGAGGAGGGGCUGCAGCGGCUGAGAGAGCACUUUGAUCGCAAAAUUCGCCCUCUUCUUGCCGUGAUGACUCACGUAGACCUGAUGUGGCUCGAGGCGCUCACCCAGAAUUCCGUGCAGAACAAGGAGCAGUUGGAGCGACGCAUCGGGUUCCAGACGUCCCUGGGCACGCCCGAGUUCUUCGACAUGUCGAAAAGGCUUCGAUACGAGAUCAAUGAGGACUACAAAGUGCGAGAUGAGCUAGGACCGGAACUGUUUGCGCUGUGGAGCAAGGCACCGGAGCGUUGGCCACCGGAACGGCUGGCGAAGAUGUAUGGUCUCGACUUCACGCUUGUCCGGAAGAUUCUCGUCUGGCACCACUUCAAGGCAUGCUACGACGCUUGCGUAGAGCCAGACUGGACCUUGCCGAAGCGCCUCUUUGCGCUUGAGUGGAUUCGCGAUGUGCGGGCCCGCAAACAGGGUCUCUUCUACGGCAAGCUGCGUUUUGCAGAACAGAAGAUCACGUUUUACAGUGACAAGUUUCUCUUUCGCGACCUCGUCAACCGCCGUGAGGCGAGCUACGCAAAUGUGUGGGAGAUGGACGACCCGUAUCGUUUUCUGCAGACGGAGCAAGACUACGAGGAUUACUGGGGCGACAACUACGACGUGUAUCGGCGCAUGUUCCCUGAGAUGAUUGGUAAGACCGGCGAGCCAGUGCAGCAGUACAGCCAGAUGCCCGUGUGGGCGGGACCGCACCGCGACCACGCGAACAAAUCCGAGCACAACUGGAUGUUUGCGGAGAUCGGCGUGAAUGUCGGUCACGAGCCGCUGAAGAAGCUGGAGCUGGAUCCGACAAACGAGAAACGGCGUCGCUUUGUCAUCCGCCAACCUGACGGCUCGCUGCGGUCGGCAAAAAUGUCGGAGAUGCGGGCGUGGUACUGGAAGGAGGAGUGGGCGGACUUCCGAUUUUGGGCCCCUCACAUGGAGUGGGGUGUCGAGAACACGCCCUCCAUGGAGCAGUACCAGGAGCACGUACCGGACACACCCGACGCUGACUAUCGCAAGCAGCGCCGCAUUCAGUCCCGCCCCGUAAAGUGGUUUUACGAGAGCCACUAUAGCCGCAGCGGCAACUUUGCUGGAUUUCAGCCGUUACGAUUCAUGCAGCGCCGCACCCAACGUGAGGUGCGGUGGCCCGAUGUCAUCAACGCUGCUGUGCAGAUCGAGAAGAGCAAGCCGAGCUCCUACGUGUUCAAGGCAAUCCCAGAAAUUUAAGUCUGAUUCAUGCGAUUUUUGUCUGUGCGCAUCCACGACAACAUUUUGCUCUGCUUCCUCUCUCAUUGCUCGUUGCUGCUCGGUUACACCUCUUUUCCGCGUGGCUGGGUGCGGGCUCCGACUGGGUGACAUGGCGACAGGGAAGGGGAAGGUAGUUGGAGGAGGAAACGAAGGGCGGCAUGCGACGAUCUUCUCUCUCCAUGUACAUCAUAUGCCUGCCUGCGCGUUUCGUUUUCCGCUGCUCACGCUGCUGUUUCUUAAUUUUGUCGUUGUGGAAGCGGCUUCGGUGGUGUACCGUUUUUUUUUUUUGCUCGUUUUGGUGGUGACGAUGCUGCCAGUAGCAGUGAGGUGGGGAAGGGGCGUCACCGAGGAAGACAGCGGUAGUCACAGCGGUACAGACUUUUGCUUUUGCGCUUUCCCUCGAUCGCCCACUGGGGAGAGCACAGACGCUUUACGUUUCGAUGCUUGCGCAUGCUUGUGUGCAGCGAUGCGUCACUCGGCGGGGAAGGAUACAGCAAAAGUAGAAACGGAAAGAGCAGCCGCCUCACUGUUACACAUUCACAGAGCACGUGAUCGAAGCUAUUGCUGGUAUGGCAUUGCGGAAAAAAAACGGACGCCAAGGCGUCAGGAUCGCUCGAGCUCUCUCACCACCGGCACUGCAGCAUAACAUCGAUAACAGGGGGGGGUCGAAACAAAAGGCGAUCAUUUUGCGUUCAUAAGAUGUGUCGACUCUCUCUUCCUUGACCUUGUUGCGGAAGGGUAUUCCUGAGAAGAAGACGAAUCGAGUGGCUUGCUCAUAUCAAGAGGAGGCCGUCGAAUCAG
rnacentral:misc_RNA from 1 species